AAAGCUCAGAUUUAAGGGGUAGUUGGGUGUAUGAGGAUGUAGUUUGCAAUCAUGGUGUGGCAGUGCAAGAUCUGUCAGUGGAUAGCCUCCACAAAAGGAGGUGUCUUGAAGCACUAUCGAUUUCAUCAUGGUUCAAUUUACACAUGGCCAUUUUGUACUGUGUCCACACUCCAGUUGUCCAUGCUCUUUCAAAACACAGAGUGCCCUUAACACACAUUUAAGUAGAUACCAUAUACAUGAGGACAAUCAAGUGCCAGAAGUGCUCACUUUAAAUUGUAAAAGUUGUAGCACACAACAUUGUUCUGAGAAGGACUAUUUUCAACAUUUAGGUCAUCAUCUUAGAAGUCAUGAAACCAUAGAAUGUGUAUUUCAAGGGUGUAACUUUAAGACAAAUAGAUAUGGGACUUUUGUAACACACAGAAGCAGAAAACAUAAUCCUCACUCUUACAGAGAUUUCAAGACCGAUGUGUUAGUGAUGAAGGAGACUGAAUCACAUUCAUUUGAUACUAAGCUGCAGGACAGUGACACUGAGAACAGAUGUAUAGAUGGGGAUUACCAAAUGCAAGAUGAAUCACAGACAGUUGUGAACAAAAUAGCCUUGCUCCUGUUGAAGUUAGAGAGCAUAUACAAUGUGUCUUCCAGAUGCAUUGAUGACUUGGUUGAAGAACUCCGCUUUGUGUCUUGUUUGUCAUCCCAUUCCCAGUUGUUCAAAAACAUUGUUGAAUCAAGUUUAAGUAAGAAUAAUUGUGUCCUCAGUGAAGAGAAUGUCACUGAAUUUGUAAAUGAACUUUGUAAGUCCAACCCUAUUGUAAGAGCAUUAGAAGCAGGUGGUCCCCUUGGGUCUGCCUUCAAGAGAAAACAAUUUUUUAAGGACAAUUUUGAAGUUGUUGAACCAGUAGAAUUUGUUCUAGAUGCUGCUGAGAGUAGGCAAUAUCACUAUGUACCUAUUCUUGAGACAUUGCAGCAGGUGUUGAACAGCAAAAGUAUGAAAUUGGACAUGCUGAAACAUAAAGUUUCAAGUGACCCAUCCCAUAUUGAGUCUUUUGUAGAUGGCAG
rnacentral:lncRNA from 1 species